rnacentral:rRNA from 1 species
GAUGAACGCUGGCGGCGUGCCUAACACAUGCAAGUCGAGCGGCAGCGCGAGUAGUUUACUACUUGGCGGCGAGCGGCGGACGGCUGAGUAACGCGUGGGAAUUUGCCCCAAAGUGAGGAAUAACUGCCCGAAAGGGUGGCUAAUGCCGCAUAUGAUCUUCGGAUUAAAGGAUUUAUCCGCUUUGGGAGAAGCCCGCGUCGGAUUAGGUAGUUGGUGAGGUAAUGGCUCACCAAGCCGACGAUCCGUAGCUGGUCUGAGAGGAUGACCAGCCAGACUGGAACUGAGACACGGUCCAGACUCCUACGGGAGGCAGCAGUGAGGAAUCUUCCACAAUGGGCGAAAGCCUGAUGGAGCAACCGUUCGGAUUAAAGGCCUUUCGGGUUGUAAACUGCUUUUAUAAGUGAGGAAUAUGACGGUAGCUUAUGAAUAAGGAU